rnacentral:rRNA from 1 species
UGAGCAAUCUGCCCUUCUCAUCGGAAUAAGCGUUGGAAACGACGUCUAAUGCCGAAUACGACCUCCUUUCGCAUGAUCGGAGGUGGAAAGCUCCGGCGGUCAAGGAUGGGCUCGCGGCCUAUCAGCUUGUUGGUGGGGUAACGGCUCACCAAGGCUACGACGGGUAGCUGGUCUGAGAGGACGAUCAGCCACACUGGGACUGAGACACGGCCCAGACUCCGUAGGGAGG